UCAGAGUCCAGGAAAAAGCUUGGUGAAGAGGCCCUCACAGAAGAAGAAAAGAUGUAAAAAGACCAAGACAGUGGAAGCAAUGGUGCCAGCCAUAUUAAAGGUGAAGAGACCGUGGAGUGAAGCAGAGAGGAGUGCGGUAUACAAACACAUGGCAAAGUUUAUGGCAGAGCGCCGCGUUCCAGGUAAAGAACACUGCAUGCGAUGCAUAAAAGAAGAGGAAGCCUUGUGUCAAAGAUCCUGGAAGGAUGUAAAGAAUUUUGUGUACAACACAAAUGUCACAUUAAACCGGAGGUGUGCUACACGGCAGCUUCACUUUUGAAGAUCUUUAUUGUGCAAUAUAAUGUUGUGUUCUAGUUGAUGUCUGCUGCAGUUCUUUUGAUGUGCAGUAGUGUUGAAGUGGUGUUUCAAAACAUAGAAAUAAGGCACAUUUAUCUAUUAAUUGCACAAAUAUUUUCUUAGGUUUGUUUUUAUAAAAUGUCAGAACAUAUUGAAAAACACCUAAAACAAAGUUUAAGGUUGUCUUCAGGUAUAUUUUGUUCAAAUGACAGUUGUUGUGACAAGUUUAUUAUCACAAGUGAGAAAGAAAGCAGCAAAUUCUCAAAGUUGAUGUUUGAACAAACUGAAAUAAAUGUUCUGAUAACUAAGAGUUAA